ACGGGAGGCAGCAGUGAGGAAUAUUGGUCAAUGGACGGAAGUCUGAACCAGCCAUGCCGCGUGCAGGAAUAAGGCCCUAUGGGUCGUAAACUGCUUUUGUGGUGGAGCAAUAAGGCGUACGUGUACGUCGAUGAGAGUACAUCACGAAUAAGCAUCGGCUAACUCCGUGCCAGCAGCCGCGGUAAUACGGAGGAUGCAAGCGUUAUCCGGAUUUAUUGGGUUUAAAGGGUGCGCAGGCGGCCCGUUAAGUCAGCGGUGAAAUGUCGGGGCUCAACCCGGGCACUGCCGUUGAAACUGGGGGGCUUGAGUACGGAUGAGGUCGGCGGAAUGUGACGUGUAGCGGUGAAAUGCAUAGAUAUGUCACAGAACACCGAUUGCGAAGGCAGCCGGCCAAUCCGCAACUGACGCUCAUGCACGAAAGCGUGGGGAUCGAACAGGAUUAGAUACCCUGGUA
rnacentral:rRNA from 1 species